rnacentral:lncRNA from 13 species
CUGCACACACCUGUUACCUGCACACACCUGCUACCUGCACACACCUGCCCACUUGCACACACCUGCUACCUGCACACACCCACUACCUGUUCUGCUGUCUCCACAUCAGGGGUGGGUGUGGGUGGCAGGUGCCUCCCUGCUGCUUGGGGCCCAGGUUCCCCCCACCAAGGCCUGUGCCUCCCUCAGGCCCCUUCACGCCUAAAGAGGCCUCAGGUCCAGGAGAAGAUGGGCCCAACCCUGACUCCAUGGAGUGGGGCGGUGAGAGCUCCAUGACUGCGAAAAGAGUUCCCUGCCUGGAGGCCCCUGUCCACCUGAUUGCACAAGGGACCCUGCAGAGUGACCUGGCCAGUGAGCAGAUCCGUUCCAGCCUGGGGCUGCAGGUGGGGAGUGAGGAAUUACAAGGGCGGGGGGAACAAGACUGCAGCUCGGCCUCACCUGUCCCACCCGUCCAGUGGGAAUGUGCCUCGGGGUUGAGGAUGAGCUGUUCCUGUGAGCAGCGCGGCAGUGGGGCUGGGGGGUACAGCCCUGUCUGUACCACAGCACCUGUCCUCCCAGGGCCCAUGGGAGCUGGCAGCCGGAGGUGGAGGGGGCCCUCAGACACCUGCAGUUGUGUGUGGACGCAGGCCCUCCGAGUAGGAGCCCACCCCAGCCCCCAGGGCCACCCUUUCUCUGAGGAGCCAAGGAAAAUUGCCUUCAUUCCCAUCCACGGCCCUCCUGGGUAUUUCUGGGGGUGAGAGAGUCCCCAGGGCAUGGCAUCAGGCGAGGGGUUAGCCCUCCUGUGUGCAGAGCCUGGCACAGAGGGUUCUAGGGGCAGCCUUAUCCUUUCAGGGCCUGGGGUCUUUUAAAUUCAUGACACGUUCUUUAAGAAACCCAAAGAGAAGGCCCAGAGAGACCCAGUGAGUGAGGAGACGCGACCUGGGACAUCGCACGGAGCCCGGUGCUCACGGGCCACGCUCCAAGGCGGGACCCCCCUUAUCCCCAGUGUCUCAGAACCCAAGCCCUCUUCCUCUCCCUCCCUCUCCCUGAGCCUCCACUGACCCACACAUCCUGCCCCCUGGGAGAGGGAGCCCCAGACCCGCCACCGGGUCUCCAGCCCAGGAGCCUUUCCGUUAUUUUGUGUGCUUGUUUUUGAGAUGGAGUCUCCCCGUCACCCAAGCUGACUGCUGUGGCGCGAUCUCGGCUCACUGCACAAUCCGCCCCCUGCGUUCAAGGGAUUCCCCUGCCUCAGCCUCCCGAGUAGCUGGGACCACAGGCGCCCCACCACCCCGGCUAACUUUUUGUAGUUUUAGUAGAGACGGGGUUUCUCUGUGUUAGCCAGGCUGGUCUCCAUCAGGCCGUGACAACGUGGCAAACUCUGUCUUUACUAAAAAUUCAAAAAUCAGCCAGGCGUGGUGGUGGGAGCUCGUAAGCCCAGCCACUUGGGAGGCUGAGCUAAGAGAAGCGCUUGAACCUGGGAUGUGGAGGUUGCAGUGGGCCGAGAUCACGCCCCUGACCUCCAGCCUGGGCGACAGUGAGACUCUGUCAAAAAAAAAAAAAAGGCCGGGCACUGUGGCUCACGCCUGUAAUCCCAGCACUUUGGGAGGCCAAGGCGGGUGGAUCACGAGGUCAAGAGAUCGAGACCAUCCUGGUCAACAUGGUGAAACCCCGUCUCUACUAAAGAUACAAAAAAAUUAGCUGGGCAUGGUGGCGCGUGCCUGUAAUCCCAGCUACUCGGG